rnacentral:misc_RNA from 1 species
AAGUCGUAACAAGGUCUCCGUUGGUGAACCAGCGGAGGGAUCAUUACAGAGUUGCAAAACUCCCAACCAUUGUGAACCUACCUCACCGUUGCUUCGGCGGGUGGCCCGGGGCAACCCAGGCCGCGCCGGCUCCCCUUCAGGGGCCUGGCAAACCCGUCAGAGGACCGAAACUCUUCGUCAUCAGUGGCCUCUCUGAGUAACUUAUACAAUAAGUCAAAACUUUCAACAACGGAUCUCUUGGUUCUG